UACGGGGGGGGCAAGCGUUGUUCGGAAUUACUGGGCGUAAAGGGCUCGUAGGCGGCCAACUAAGUCAGACGUGAAAUCCCUCGGCUUAACCGGGGAACUGCGUCUGAUACUGGAUGGCUUGAGUUUGGGAGAGGGAUGCGGAAUUCCAGGUGUAGCGGUGAAAUGCGUAGAUAUCUGGAGGAACACCGGUGGCGAAGGCGGCAUCCUGGACCAACACUGACACUGAGUGAGCGAAAGCCAGGGGAGCAAACGGG
rnacentral:rRNA from 1 species